UCGAGUGGCCUCUUGAGAUCUUGAAGCUCCUACUCGACCACGGGGUCGAGUGGUUUGACAUGAUCAGGUCCGCUUCUGCCAGUUAGCUCGUCAAUAGCUCCAAAUCACCUAAAUCAACACAAAUAUUCAACAUGCAUGCAAAUCUAUCCUAAACAUGUAAAGUGAUGACAAAUGAUGAGAAAUGGUAUAAAACAGUGAUGAUAUGAUGCUAAAGUGAUGACAAAUGGAUGCUCAAAACAUGCAACAUACAAACUUAUCAGCUACACUAUCAAAGCUUUGAGAAGCAAGAAGAAGCUUGGUUAGUGUUUUGGAUUCGAAUAUGACUUGAUGUCAUGUGUAUGAUUGAGUAUAAGAACUUAAAUCUCAACCGGAUUUUAAAAGCCUAAGUAGUGUUUCCUUGUUAGAAGAUACAAAGCCAAAGACUCAUACGGAUUUUGAUAAUAGGUUUUUAAGAUCAAUUAUUCUUAAAGCACUAUCAUGUCGUUGUAGUACUGAAAGUUGUCUAUCCAAAUGGGUGUGAUGCAAACAGAUGAGAUGUGAUCAGAAGUCACUAAGUCAAGCCAAGCAAUAAUGGUUUUGGGGUUUCUAACAGUCCUAAACGAACAUGGAAAAAACAGAAAUUUUAACAGAAUUACUAAAAUCACUCGACCACAACUGGCUGAUGCCAGAAAGCAGAACGUGGUCGAGUAACUGGUCGAUUAACAGACAGGAAAUGAAACAGUUAUACUCGACUGCACAGUUUGUUGCCAGACACUGGGUGUGGUCGAGUAUGCUGGUCGAGUAACACACAGGAAAUGAGACAACGGUACUCGACUGCACAGUCUGUUGCCAGACACUAGCUGUGGUCGAGUAAGUUGGUCGAGUGAUUACAAAAAAUAAGAAACAGGCAAUGAGAACGAUAAAGCGAUAACGAUAAAACAGAGAAAUUAGAUAGAGAAGAAAAUCCUAAGGAUGGGAUAAUCGAAUGGAGUUGUAUCCUAGCCUUUCCGGAUGGUUAACAAGAGCAAUCAAGCUAUCCCUAGACAACAGGUUCAACAACAGAUCAAUUCACUCACGUGAUAGAAAUCCUCAAGCAAAGCUAGCCCAGACUAAUUCCCAUUAACCGAAUCUAACUAUGCAGGCAAUAAGAAUAGAUAGAUAAAGUCAAUACACGCUUUAAACGACCAAUCCCUUGGGAUAGAGACGCAUAUCUCAGGAACUAGUGGAUCAAGCAUUCCAUCAAACACCUUCUGGGUAAGGGAAUGCUUUUGAUCGAAUUCUAGUUGAUCAGAAAGAAAUAAGAAGUAAACACAACUAGUCCCGCCGUUUAAUCAGUUCUAAAAACUUAACCAUUCUACAUAAUAAGGAUUCCACAACCAUUCUAUCCCAUCCUUAAGAACUCUAUGUCACUACUCAGACAACAUGCUCAAAGACAUAAACGCAUGUAAAUGAUAAUAUUGCAUAAGUAAAGAGAUAAAGAGUAGAGAAACAAGAUGACCGAUGAAAUCAAAUGCGGAAUCUAAUAUUGCAAGAUGACUUGGAAAAACCUCGAAUUAUAGGUUACAGAAGCAAAAGCAGCGAAACCAGAGUAAAACAUAAAAUAAAACUGAAGCAAAAAACUCAAUGUCGACUAGAUGUCCCAGGACAAAACCCUUAGACACUUAUUUAUACAAAACGAAAUAAAAUGAUAGUAGAUGGGCCGGGAACCUAAUCGACCGACCCAUAGAGUGAUAAUGGGCCGAGAUGGACUUCGUGAUGGGAUGAAGCUCUGGACCGCUUCCAAACACUUCUUCUUCUCCUCUUCUCUUCCUUGUGCUCAGCCUGUCUGGUUGAGUGCGUUUUUGAGUAGACUCUAAAGAUGUGGUUAAGUGCUUGGUCGAGUACUGGUGUUGGUGGUGAGUGAUGAUACUCGACCCGGGGGUCGAGUAAUGUGGUAGAGCGAAUGGCCGAGUGGUAUGACGAAGUGAAACUCGACCAGGGGGUCGAGUGAUGUCAUCGAGUGGCCUGAGCUGCGGUUACUCGACCACGGGGUCGAGUAGAUGGGAAGAAUGGCUCCAAUGUCACUCGAUCAGGGGGUCGAGUAUGGUGCUGGAUGUACUCGUCCUGGGUGGUCGAUUAUGUCUUCUGGUUCAGGCUCGCUUCUUCCAAUUUGCUCGCCAACAACCCCAAAUCACCUGAAAACAACUCAGAAAUUCAAUAUCUAUGCAAAGCUAUCCUAAUCAUGCAAAGUAUGCAAGAUGAUGAGAAAUGAUGAUAAUAUAUUUUUAGUCAAUUAUUCCUAAAACACCAAUCAUGUCAUUGUAGUAUUUUAGGUGUCAAUCCAAAUGGGUGUGAUGCAAACAGAUGAGAUGUGAUCAGAAGUCUCUAAGUCAAGCCAAGCAAUAACAGAUUUGGGGUUUCUAACAGUCCUAAGCGAACAUGCAGAAAACAGAAGCAAUAACAGAAUUACUAAAAUCACUCGACCACAACAGGCUGAUGCCAGAAGUAGGAUGUGGUCGAGUAAUAGACAGGAUAUGAAACAGCUAUACUCGACUGUACAGUCUGUUGCCAGACACUGGGUGUGGUCGAGUAAGUUGGUCGAGUGAUUGUAAAAACUAAGAAACAGGCAAUGAGAACGAUUAAGCGAUAACGAUAAAACAGAGAAAUAAGGUAGACGAGAAAUUCCUAAGGAUGGGGUAAUCGAGUAGAGUGGUGUCCUAGCCUAUUCGAAUGGUUAACAAGCGCAAUCAAGCUAUCCCUAGACAACAGGUUCAACAACAGAUCAAUCCACUCCCGUGAUAGAAAUCCUCAAGCAAAGCUAGCCCAAACUAAUUCCCAUUAACGGAAUCUAACUAUGCAGGCAAUACGAACAGACUGAUAAAGUCAAUAAACGCUCUAAACGGCCAAUCCCUUGGGAUAGAGACGCAUAUCUCAGGAACUAGUGGAUCAAGCAUUCCAUCGAACACCUUCUGGGUGCGGGAAUGCUUGGGAUCGAAUUCCAGUUGAUCAGAAAGAAAUAAGCAGUAAACGCAACUAGUCCUAAAGGGAUUCAAUCAAUUCUAAAACUUAACCAUUCUACAGACUACGGAUUCCACAACUACUCUAUCCCAUCCCUAAGAAUUCUAAGUCACUACUCAGACAGCAUGCUCAAAGACAUAAACGCAGGUAAACGAUAAUAUUGCAUAAGUAAAGAGAUAAAGAGUAGAGAAACAAGAUGACUAAUGAAAUCAAACGCGGAAUCUCAAUAACUUGGAAAAAUCGCGAACUACAGGUUGCAGAAGCAAAAGCGGCGUAGCAGAGUAAAACUGAAAAUAAAACUAAAGCAAAAACGCAAUGUCCACUAGAUGUUUUAGGACAGAACCCUAAAACAUCUAUUUAUACCAAACGAAAUAAAAUGAUAGUAGACGGGCCAAUAACCUAAUCGCCCGGCCCAUAGAGUGAUAAUGGGCCGAGAUGGGCUUCGUGAUCCGAUGAAGGUCCAGGCCGCUUCCAAACACUUUGUCUUCUCCUCUUUUCUUCCUUGUGCUCAGCUUGUCUGGUUGAGUGCGGAUUUGAGUAGACUGUGAAGACGUGAUCGAGUGUCCGGUCGAGUGAUGGUGAUGGUGGUGAGUGAUGAUACUUGACCAGGGGGUCGAGUAACGUGGUAGAGUGAAUGGUCGAGUGUGGUCAGGUGGUGUGGCGAAGCGGUACUCGACCGGGGGUCGAGUAAUGUCGUCGAGUGGCCUGAGCGGAGGUUACUCGACCUGGUGGUCGAGUGGACGGGAAGAAUGGCUCCAAAGUCACUCGACCUGGGGGUCGAGUAUGUGGGAAGAAUGGCUCCAAAGUCACUCGGCCUGGGGGUCGAGUAUGUCUUCUGGUUCUGGCUCGUUUCUUCCAAUUUGCUCGCAAACAGCUCCAAAUCACCUGAAAACAACUCAGAAAUGCAAUAUGUAUGCAAAGCUAUCCUAAUCAUGCAAAGUGUGCAAGAAUGAUGAGAAAUGAUAUAAAACAGUGAUGAAUGAUACGAAACUAGACUCAAAGUGAUGAUGAAUAGACACUGAAAACAUGCAAAUUAUAGACAUAUCAACUCCCCCAAACUUAGUCUUUGCUUGCCCUCAAGCAAAUAAGAAGACAUAGUUGAAGGAGAGGAGUGAAGGCGGGGACUCAGAACCAAAGCAUAUGAUAGAGCAAAUAAAAUCAAUGUCCAAGUUGGUAGUUCUAAGAUGCGAUAUGAUUGAAUUCCACUCAAAAACGUUAGCCAUGCCUUGUUAUCAAUAAAUCCGUCUCUUAUACUCGACCUACACAUGUUUUCAAAUCUACCAAUCCCUUUAACAUUCAUUAGUUCUGGAACGUGAAUCAAGCAAUGCAUCAUCAAUGAACUCAUUUGGCUAAGGUGAAGGUCAAGAGACAAAGAUGGUCCCCUACAGAAUAAGCUUAAGUAACAGGGGAUCCCUCAAGAAUGAUUGAGCUUUAGUAGAAUGCUAAAGGUAAGUCCCAAGUUAUGCAUACAGAGAUAAGAUCCCAUCUACCCAGAGUAUAACAAUGAAGCUCUAAUGGUAAUCCCAACUCCUGUCCCAACUUAACUCUACCCUUUGCACUCAUGAAUCUUUCAAACUCUUUUUCAUAUCAUUCUUUUUUUU
rnacentral:sRNA from 1 species